AUGAAGUUAGUGUAGCUUAUUGUUCUAAUAGAAAAAUGAAAAAAAUAUAUGGUUGAUAAUUUAGACUACGAGAUAGAGAACCAUGAAUCUACGAUUCUUGGCGGAUAAUAGCUGAGGCUGCCUAUUUCUCUUUCCCGGGUCGUCUUUCUUUACUGGAAGACUAAACACCUUCUUCUACUUCUUGCUUUUUACACAAAAGGUUUGAUUAACCACCUUCGUCUCUUUUCUUCCCUUAUUCAAUGCUCGCCAUAGGUUUGCAAACUGUCCAGAGUUUCUCACAAGGUUCAUACAUCUGUUUCUGUUACUUUUAAGGUUUACAAGGGAUUGGUCCAGUAGUCGAGAAUCUUGAGAUUAAUACUCAACUGGGUAUCGAAUUUCUGAGGAUUGAUAUAUACUUUCCCUUUAGCUAAAAAAUGGGAAAGCAAUUGCAGCACCAGGACUCAAGUGUUGGAGGAAACCGUCCGGGCUGCAUGUGGAGCCUAAUGAGCAACCUUGAUUACCAUCAAUGGAGUAAUGUCAAGAAGUUUCUUCCCACGGAAAGCGUGCAGGAGGAAGACGAGUCAGACUUCAUAUUGAAUGAAAAUCUUCUAUUACUCCGAGCUAUUUACGAAAGUGGAAGUGCUUGAUUUGUAGUCCAGUGCAUGUUAAAUUUGCCCAAAAGCUCAUGGAAUUCUCUCGUGCUAGUUCAUGGUUUGGUUGUUUUUGUGCUAUUUCUUCAUACUAUUUUUACAUAGGAGUAGCUAAUUUUUUAAUUUGUGCCCUUCUGUACAGCAGCGAUCAGAGAAAAUAGCACCGUUCGAAGAGCUUAAAGUUAAAGUGAAGAAAAAGUUCCUUCAAUGAGCAUUGCCAGAAGUCCACCAGAAGAAAUCUAUCACUGCCCGAUCUUGACUCUUUUUCUUCCAUCUUAAAUGGGGCACUGGUUAAAGAUGCUUUUCGUUUGGGGAUGUCGGUUACAAAAGCCGUGGACCAAAAUACAGAUACAGAUAAGCCUGAACAACCAGUCAACUAGAUGGUAUUAUAGAAAGAAGUGACAAUGGUGCAAAUUUUGCUGACGCGGGGGACAUUGUAAUUGCACAUGUGUGUGCAAGUCUUAAAACUAUUUUACUCAAGUUUCAAUCAUUGAAUCGAAAUGCUAUAUCUUUUAAGAUGUUAAAAAACUGGAUUUAUCUCUCAAUGGUUAAGUGCUAAUGCAUUUUUUUGUUUAAUUCA